UCUGUAAUGUGUAUAUAUAUAUUAAAUAGAUUGGAAUAAUUUUUUUGUAAUGUGUGUCUUUUUUCAGUAACCUUUAUGUGACUGAAGAUUAGCAUAUCUUUUAAUUUUCAUAAUAUACUUAGAAUUGAAUACAUGCAUACAUUUAUUUGUCUUUCAGGCAAGAAGCCAUUCAGAGAAAUGUUGAGCAUUCAAAAAAUCUGCAGGACCAGUUGACACAUCUUUUGAAAUAAACUUAAAUGUGGAAAGUUUACAGAGUGACACAUCGAGCUGUCAGUGGUGGCUUAGUGUCUGGAAGUGGCACAACAUUCAGACAGGACAAGAUGAGUGUGUUAGAGCUUCCUGUGAAUAUAUCGUGUGUAUUCCAAAGAGCUGUGGAAAGAAGAUAAAAAUGGUUUAGGGGUCCAGAAUGUUCUGUCAAGUGAUAUUGUGACACCAGGAUGAAAAGAAUUUCCGUUAAUAUAAUGGAAUUAUAAUAGAUGUAUUUAAAUAAUGGUUGAUUCCUUCUGCUAUAUUUUAAGUUCUGGGUCAUUUUAUGGGUAUGGUAUGUUUUUUUCCUUCCAGGUGAUAAUUCUCUCUUCUUCCAUAUCUGACAGAAGUUUUAAAACAUUUAUGCUUCAAUUAUGGAUUGGUGCAUUAUCCUAAAAAGAGUUCAAAGACAAUAUUUGUUGUCCAUUUUUAUUAAAUUGUAAAAGGAGCACACUCUUUGAAAAUCUCUUUGAAAUGCUAGAUCAGGUUUGUAAUACUUAAAUUUAACAGGACCCUUGCGUAACUGCUUGUGAUACAUUUGCAAACUCUCAUAAAAAUGUGUGCCUUUUUUUGUCAUUCUCAGGCUUUAAUAAACAGGCACACUUUCUUAGCUUUUUGGUAUGUCAGUAGCUGGAAAGUGUUUGUCUGUUCCAGAUUAAUUUUAACAUGCAGGAUCUUUAGUGCUGGCAUCCCAUCCAUGUCCAGUUUCUGUCAGAAAGCUGAAUGUUAGACACCUUGAGUUUCUUAAAUGGAUUACUCGGAUAUGUAAAAUUAAUGGAGGAAUCAAUAACUUGCCAGUACAUUAUGUCAUACUCUUCAAAGAUUUGAGACUGUGUGUAUAUGCAGGCAUGUAUGCAUAUGUUGUAUUUAUAUAAAAAAUAUUGAAAGCAUCUAAAAUUGUAUCCAUUAGUUUUAAGCAGCUGAAAUGUUAACAUUUGUUGUUUUUUAUGAAUAAAAGAAAAGGUAUUUAAA